rfam:Microvirga sp. V5/3M plasmid unnamed4, complete sequence.
UUUGCGGGCCGGGCCCCUCUGACAACCACGGUCGUGUGGCUGUGAUGUCGGACCGCAGCA